rnacentral:lncRNA from 7 species
UCAGCGUGACAACCGCUGGGGGAAAGGCAGUCGGGAGCGGUGAUUAAAAUGGACACAAAUCCACUAAAGACUUCCAGGUGUUUCAGUGCUGCAGAAGUGAAUGUCACCACAAUGAGAUGACUGCAAUGAGGUCUUGCUGAGGCAGUGAUUGCUGUGAGGUUAUUUGAACCUGUCAGCUCUUUUUCCAGUGAAGAGGAUUAAUUUUUGCUGGCCACCCCAGCUGUACCACCAGAACUGCCCUGAUUCACCCAGUGGGAGGAACUGCCUCUCUGUUACAGUAGGUCCAGCUGUGUUGUCAAUUCGUUGCCUCAAGCUUCACUCACGUGUCCCAGUGCCCUGAUUGCUCCCACUGCAGGAAUGCUGGUCCUGUUACUGAGAUGGAUGUUUUGUUUCCCUUGUGAAGAAACCUGGAGGUGUUGGUUUGCUCCUGAGCCCUCUGCUUGCAGGCAACACUGACACGAGACAAUCUGAACCAGGAGCCAUGGACUCGUUCCUUUCUGCACGCCAUAAAAGCAGCACGUGUGCAUCGAAUCAACUGAAUACUACCAAUGACUAAGAAACAGCCUGAGGUUUUUGGCUAAGGGUAUUAGAAUUCAGUAUUUGUAGGGAUCCACGACAGCUAGAGAUAGAACUCUCAGUGAAAAUUAUGGAAACUGUGCAUCUAAAUCCUUGGAUUUAGGUCAUGUCAAGCUGAAGAUUUGAGACAUCCAAUUUAAACCCCUCGAACCUCUGCUGAACCAUGGAUGCUCCAGGCAACACAAUACCCAGGAAUGCCACUGAGGAAACACAAGUAAAAACUUGCUAAUUAUUUUAAAGGAGAGACAGAGAGAUAACAAAUAUGCUAAGUUUUUUUUUUUAUUGCUAUCUACCACUACUACAGUAACUGAGAUGGGAAAGUGGGAAAUAAUGUUCAGAAUAUCUGAGAAAUGUUGCUUAGCUUGAAAGUAUCUCUGCUACUGAUGUGAUGACUGUCUAGUGGGGUUGUGGUUGCUGGGAAUUCACACACUGAUUUUAUAGAGAGAUAAAAGAGUGGAGUUUAUAUGGAAUAAACCCCUUUUGAAUAAAACAAUCUGCAUAAAUGC